UAAAUAUUCCCUCCGUCCAGAAAUACUCAUCGGAGAAAUGGAUGUAUCUAGAGGUAUUUUUGUUCUAGAUGCAUCCAUUUCUACGACAAGUAUUUCCGGAUGGAGGGAGUACAAU
rfam:Triticum aestivum genome assembly, contig: Triticum_aestivum_CS42_TGACv1_scaffold_404882_5BL